GAUGAACGCUAGCUACAGGCUUAACACAUGCAAGUCGAGGGGUAACGAGAGGAAAGCUUGCUUUCCUUGUCGACGACCGGCGCACGGGUGAGUAACGCGUAUCCAACCUGCCCCCAACUAAGGAAUAACCUUGCGAAAGUAAGACUAAUACCUUAUAAUUUCUUCAGAUGUCAUCUGACGAGGAAUAAAGAUUUAUCGGUUGUGGAUGGGGAUGCGUCUGAUUAGCUUGUUGGCGGGGUAACGGCCCACCAAGGCAACGAUCAGUAGGGGUUCUGAGAGGAAGGUCCCCCACAUUGGAACUGAGACACGGUCCAAACUCCUACGGGAGGCAGCAGUGAGGAAUACUGGUCAAUGGGCGAAAGCCUGAACCAGCCAAGUAGCGUGCAGGAUGACGGCCCCAUGGGUUGUAAACUGCUUUUAUACAGGAAUAAAGUUAGCCACGUGUGGUUAUUUGUAGGUACUGUAUGAAUAAGGACCGGCUAAUUCCGUGCCAGCCGCCGCAGUAA
rnacentral:rRNA from 1 species